GGGGGCAUAGCUCAGUUGGGAGAGCAGUAGACUGAAGCAUUGGUGAAUCCAAGCAUUCUAAAGGUCCCGCGUUCGAUCCGCGGUGCCCCCA